GACGAACGCUGGCGGCGUGCCUAAUACAUGCAAGUCGAACGCAGUGGGGACGGGUGAGUAACACGUGGGUAACCUCCCAUCAGAGGGGAUAAAACUUGGCAACAGCUGCUAAACUGAUACUGAUGGAUGGACUCGCGGUGCAUUAGCCAGUUGGUGAGGUAACGGCUCACCUAGGCCACGAUGCAUAGCCGGCCUGAGCGGGUGAUCGGCCACACUGUGACUGAGAAACGGCCCAGACUCCUACGGGAGGCAGCAGUAGGGAAUAUUCGGCAAUGGGCGAAAGUCUGACCGAGCAACGCCGCGUGGAUGAAGAAGGUUUUCGGGUCGUAAAGCACUGUUGUUGGAGAAGCGGUAUCUAACCAGGAAGCCACGGCUAACUACGUGCCAGCAGCCGCGGUAAUAC
rnacentral:rRNA from 1 species